rnacentral:rRNA from 1 species
CGAACGCCGGCGGCGUGCUUACCACAUGCAAGUCGACCGGCAAGGCCCUGCUUUUGUGGGGUGCUCGAGUGGCGAACGGGUGAGUAACACGUGAGUAACCUGCCCUUGACUUUGGGAUAACUUCAGGAAACUGGGGCUAAUACCGGAUAGGAGCUCCUGCUGCAUGGUGGGGGUUGGAAAGUUUCGGCGGUUGGGGAUGGACUCGCGGCUUAUCAGCUUGUUGGUGGGGUAGUGGCUUACCAAGGCUUUGACGGGUAGCCGGCCUGAGAGGGUGACCGGCCACAUUGGGACUGAGAUACGGCCCAGACUCCUACGGGAGGCAGCAGUGGGGAAUAUUGCACAAUGGGCGGAAGCCUGAUGCAGCAACGCCGCGUGCGGGAUGACGGCCUUCGGGUUGUAAACCGCUUUCGCCUGUGACGAAGCGUGAGUGACGGUAAUGGGUAAAGAAGCACCGGCUAACUACGUG